AUCAGACACUUAUUAUUAGACAUAUCUAGAUAUGUACGUCAUUGUUUGAAGUAUUGUUCCACAGAAACGUUUAUUCUGUACAGUAUAUUCAUACAUUCUAAAUGGUUCUUUAGACGUAGUGACAGUUCUAUUUAGAACUGUAUUUUCUUGAGGAACCCUUCAUAUGCUGAAAUGGUUCUUUGUGUUAGAGUUUAGGGUUUUUUUCUCCCGCCUUUUUGUUUUUCAAAUCUGUAACUGUCAAAGCCACCUCAUUAUUGAUUUUCUAGAGCUCAGCUAUCCAAUUACACAGACUGUCAACACACUCUCAAUGGUUUAACAGAACAUGUAAGUGUGAGCAGCUUUGUUCAGUUGAGGAUACUCAUCUUCUCUUUUCCACAAAAUGCUGUCACGUCCCACAACCUCAUCAUCUGACUGACACUCAAAAUACAUACAUAAUAAUGGAUGUAAAUAGAAUUGUGAAGAUAUUUCACUGGAACUUGGUCUUCAUUACAGCUAUCAUGUUCAGUGUCAAUUGUUAUUUGUGUAUU